GAUGAAGAACGUAGCGAAAUGCGAUAAGUAAUGUGAAUUGCAGAAUUCAGUGAAUCAUCGAAUCUUUGAACGCACAUUGCGCCCGCCAGUAUUCUGGCGGGCAUGCCUGUUCGAGCGUCAUUACAACCCUCAGGCCCCCGGGCCUGGCGUUGGGGAUCGGCGGAGCCCCCCGUGGGCACACGCCGUCCCCCAAAUGCAGUGGCGGUCCCGCCGCAGCUUCCAUCGCGUAGUAGCUAACACCUCGCGACUGGAGAGCGGCGCGGCCACGCCGUAAAACACCCAACUCUUCUGAAGUUGACCUCGAAUCAGGUAGGAAUACCCGCUGAGCUUAAGCAUAUCAAUAAGCGGAGGA
rnacentral:misc_RNA from 1 species